UGCCCUUGCAGAGCCCAAGCCCCGGGGUCUCUGGUCCCGCAGCGCGCACCCGCAGUUUCUUUCAGCGGAUAGCGUGGAGGAAAGAUCACUCUGGCGACUUUCGGUCUUUGUCAUUUAAACCUGAGCAUCUCUGUCCACAGUUCUGCACACAGGAAGCCUGGGGUCGCGAGGGACCUUGAAAUCCCCAAACCUGCCCCUCCAGCAGGGUUCUCCCCGUGAAGAGGCUCGGACUCCUCCCUCCCCAGAGGGGCUCUGCAGACCUCUCCCCCAACUUCUCCGGAGACGCCCCCCAUCUCCCGUUUAAUACGUAAGAGUCGGCUGCCAAGGAAGAGCACACUUGUCAGUGAGAUGGGGUUUUGGACUGAAGCACAGGGGUGUCCCAAGAAGCGGUCACCUGCCCGGCGGGGUGGGAUGAGAGAGGUGAACUGGAACCUGAAAAGACCAAAUCUGCCACUCCAUGAUGUUUUUUUCAAGCAAGACUAAAAGUAUCGGUCUUUUCUUACUUUGAAAUGGAUUUACUUUUUUCUUUCUACCUCUUACAUUUACUUUAUGUGUUUUCAAAAGCAUAUUGAAAUAAAUAUUUGUCUAUUACA